UGCAGUGUAUGAAUUAAAUAGUAGGAGAAACGAGAGGUAAGAUUCAGUCUGUGGAGCCAGUAGUUUCACUAGAGUUCCACAGGUAGCUUGUUUAUCGAAAUGAGCUCUAACGAACUUCUAAUGAGUACUUGGAUCGACAAGAUGCUGCUCCGGAGGUAAUUGUUGUACUAGCACAGGUGUAGCAGACAAGAUCCGAGAAAUGGCAAAUUCGCCCAAAGAACUGAAAUCAUAAAUGUUGAGGGGGAAUGUGGUAUAGGGGAAUGGCAAUGCAGUGCAGUGUUCCCUUUACCUGAAUGUUAGAUGAAAAUUGAAAACGAAGAGCGAACUUUGAAGUAAUUGACUAAAAGACAAUGUUAUACCAAGAAGAAUUCAUGCUAAGUGGUGCAGACCCUUAAAGCUGACCCAUUUGAGGAGACAGCUACGUAUGGUUUUUAACAGAUGCUUCCUGGGGAAGAUUGCAGCUGUACGUAGACGCCAUUAUGAGAGAAUGAUCACUUGAAACAACGGAUUUCGAUAUGGAGUGAUAUGAGAUUUUUGAUCACAAAAAAAGAUUUACGGAAAUACCAGUGCAUUUAAAACGAUGAAACUUGUCAAUAUCUUAUAUAUCGGGCUGUG
rnacentral:lncRNA from 1 species